CAGUAGCCGCGGUAAUACAGAGGGUGCAAGCGUUAAUCGGAAUUACUGGGCGUAAAGCGCGCGUAGGCGGUUACUCAAGUCAGAGGUGAAAGCCCGGGGCUCAACCCCGGAACUGCCUUUGAAACUAGGUGACUAGAAUCUUGGAGAGGUCAGUGGAAUUCCGAGUGUAGAGGUGAAAUUCGUAGAUAUUCGGAAGAACACCAGUGGCGAAGGCGACUGACUGGACAAGUAUUGACGCUGAGGUGCGAAAGCGUGGGGAGCAAACAGGAUUAGAUACCCCAGUAGUCCCUGUCUCUUAUAC
rnacentral:rRNA from 1 species